CCUCCUCCUCCCGCUUGAUUGGCCGGCGGGGCCGUAAACCGGAAGCGUCGAGAGGCGCCCCGUGAGCGGAGUGGCGGGCGGGGAGGAGUAGGAGGCCUUUCUGCAGGAUCGUCUGCUACUGCUGCUGCUGGAGGAGGAGGCGGACUGGACAAAGGCUCGCUGCUGCUGCUGCUCUUCUUCUCUGGGAGACCCCUGCACGGCCCUCCGUGUUUGCUUGUUUAAUAUUGUGAGACCUUGUGAGAGAGCUAGCUGGUGUAGUGGUUAAGAGCUGGUGGAUUCUCAUCUGGAGAACCGGGUUUGUUUCCCCACUCCUACAUUCCUGCUGGGUGACCGUGGACUAGUCACAGUUCUCUCCUAACUCUCUCAGCCCCACCUACCUCACAGGGUGUCUGUUGUGGGGAGAGGAGGGGAAAGGGGUUUGUAGACCACCUCGAAUCUCCUUACAGGAGAGAAAAGUGGGGUAUAAAUCCAAACUGUUCUUCUUCCUGCGUAUGCAAUAGCAUGAUAUAGAACUCAAAAUCACUGUUUGGGCUCCAGAGAGCAGAUCGCUCCAGAUCAGCGUAUCAGUUAUUCUGUUACACAAAUGGCCCUUCGUAGACAACCUAUUUGUUGAUCUCCUGCUGUGAAAUUUGGCAUCGUUUGGCUCUUUUACUGUAAAAAGUUGCAGACCUCCCCAUCUUCUGCCUAUUCCCAGGCCAUGUUUGACACCCCUGUAUUGACUUAUCACACCCGGUCUUGAACUUUCUGAGCAAGCAACAAGAAAGAACACUUCACAAAUGAAACAGCUGCGCAUAUUGAGAGCCUACCAGCUGCCCAUAGACCCUCCUAUGUGUGACAUUGUGUGAAUAUGGGCAAUGCAUGUAUUUACCAUACUUGUACAUCUCUGGUAAUCUAGAACUGACCAUUGCAUUCCUUCCCCCCCCCCCCCCCCCGAGUUCACACUUAUGUAUACUGAGGCUGUGUGUACACGAUAAUUACUCAAAUACACAAUAUGAUAAUGGUACA